ACUCAAUUUAUUUAUUAAUAGUAAAAAUAUUUAUUUUAUUAAUAUUUAUAAAAAUUUUAUUUUCAACUGUAAAGGACUUCGCAUUUAUUUUAAAGAAAUUUAAUUUUCCUUUAGUAUCAGGAUCUUUUUAUUUAUUUUUUUUAAAAAAUAUUCCUGAAAAAAGAUCAUCUAUGAAUUUAUUUUCCUAUUGUUGUAAAAAUAUAAUAAAUAAAUUUAUUGAAAUUAUACUUUAUUCGAAUCUUUUGAUAUCCGGUUUCUUUUAAUUUUUAAAAUUUAACAAUAUUUAAAAAUAUAAUUUUUUAAAUAAAAAUUUUAUUUAAUAAAAUAUUUUUAGGAAUAAAAGUUUCCAAAAAGUUUUAUAACUUAAUCAUAUUAUAUUAUUUUAAUAACAAAAAGAUUUAAUUAAAUAAACUUCAAUUAAUGAAAGUAUUAGUAGAAUUUUUUAAUAUAAAUUUAUAAACUAAGCAAAAAAUUAAAUGACUGUUUACCAAAAACAUUUCUUAACGAAGUAAUUUUAAGUAUCGCCUGCUCAAUGAUUUUUUAAAUAGCCGCGGAAAUUUAACCGUGCUAAGGUAGCAUAAUCAUUUGUCUUUUAAUUAAAGACUAGAAUAAAAGAUUUAACUUUUAAAUUAAUUUUUUAAACUUAAUUAUUUAAAUUAUCUUAAAUGUAAAAAGACAUUUAUAUAUUAGAAAGACGAUAAGACCCUAUCGAACUUUAACUUUAGUUAAACUGGGGUAGUUAAUUAAUUAUUAUUUUAAUUUUAAUAAAAUACAAAUUAGACCUAAUAUAAUUAAUUUCAUAAUCAAGUUACCGUAGGGAUAACAGCGUAAUAAAAUUUUUAAGAUCUUAUUUAAAAUAAAGAUUGCGACCUCGAUGUUGAUUUAAUAACCUAAUUCACGCAAUAGUGAAUCAAGGAAGUCUGUUCGACUUUUAAAAAAUUACGUGAUUUGAGUUCAGACCGGUGUAAACCAGGUCGGUUUCUAUCUUCUAAAAAUAUUUCUUCUAGUACGAAAGGACCUAAGAAAAUAAAUUAAUUAAUUAA
rnacentral:rRNA from 1 species